rnacentral:lncRNA from 1 species
AUCUUUCUUUAUUUUUUUUUCCAAAAGAAUGAAACUUGUUUUAUCCAAACCGUUGUAUCCACAGGGGGAAAAGGGAAAGAAAGGCAAAAAAGGGCCUAAAGGGGAGAAAGGAGAACAGGGUGCUCCUGGAUUAGAUGCACCUUGCCCAUUGGGUCCUGAUGGAUUACCAAUGCCUGGCUGUUGGCAAAAGUGAUGAAUCUAACCUUACAAGCAUGAAGUUGUGUAUAUAGUGCUCCACUUUUUUUAUUUAUAGUUGAGAACUGAAAAUUUGAUUUUACAAGUCUGAGAUAUGUUUACAUGUAGCUGCUUCUACUUGUUUGCAAUAGUCCAUACAUACAUCUGUUUUUCACCUACAUCUGCAGUUAGAUGAUACAAUAACUGCAGGAUAAACCUGCAAAGAUUGUCUCUCUAAUGGGAGAGAUCUCGAAACAAUGAUCAGUAAUAGAAAUUAAUAUUUCUGUAAAUUCUUAUAUUUUGGCUUGUGGAUGUGCAUGGACAAUGAGUGCCAUGAAUUAGUUUACAAGAAAUUGUGACCAAAUAAGAGCAAAAUGCUAUGAAAUGUACUGUACCAGCUGCUGUUGGAGUUUACUGACUUGGCUUCCAUGUCCAUCUAAAACACGUCACUGAUCCAUGACACCGCAUCUGCUGGUGUGAACUAAAAGCAUGAGUUUGUGUGCCAGCCCUGCCUGCUGUGUGAUCGUGAGUGGCUGCUGACGGUGACCUUUGAUUCCAGCUUCUGAGUCAUUUCCUUUUGUCAUCUCAAGGGAGUCACACCAUGGC